rnacentral:rRNA from 1 species
UACGUAGGGCGCGAGCGUUAUCCGGAAUUAUUGGGCGUAAAGAGCUCGUAGGCGGUUUGUCACGUCUGCUGUGAAAACUGGAGGCUCAACCUCCAGCCUGCAGUGGGUACGGGCAGACUAGAGUGCGGUAGGGGAGAUUGGAAUUCCUGGUGUAGCGGUGGAAUGCGCAGAUAUCAGGAGGAACACCGAUGGCGAAGGCAGAUCUCUGGGCAGUAACUGACGCUGAGGAGCGAAAGCGUGGGGAGCGAACAGG